GUAGCUAAUACCGAAUAAGGUCAAUUGAGGUGUUAAUUGAUGAAAGGAAGCCUUUAAAGCUUCGCUUGUAGAUGAGUCUGCGUCUUAUUAGCUAGUUGGUGGGAUAAGAGCCUACCAAGGCUAUGAUAAGUAACCGGCCUGAGAGGGUGAUCGGUCACACUGGAACUGAGAUACGGUCCAGACUCCUACGGGAGGCAGCAGCUAAGAAUCUUCCGCAAUGGGCGAAAGCCUGACGGAGCGACACUGCGUGAACGAAGAAGGUCGAAAGAUUGUAAAGUUCUUUUAUAAGUGAGGAAUAAGCUUUGUAGGAAAUGACAAAGUGAUGACGUUAAUUUAUGAAUAAGCCCCGGCUAAUUACGUGCCAGCAGCCGCGGUAAUACGUAAGGGGCGAGCGUUGUUCGGGAUCAUUGGGCGUAAAGGGUGAGUAGGCGGAUAUGCAAGUCUAUGUGUAAAAUACCACAGCUCAACUGUGGAACUAUGCUGGAAACUGCAUGACUAGAGUCUGAUAGGGGAAGUUAGAAUUCCUGGUGUAAGGGUGGAAUCUGUUGAUAUCAGGAAGAAUACCAGAGGCGAAGGCGAACUUCUAGGUCAAGACUGACGCUGAGUCACGAAAGCGUAGGGAGCAAACAGGAUUAGAUACCCUGGUAGUCUACGCUGUAAACGAUGCACACUUGGUGUUAAUCGAAAGGUUAGUACCGAAGCUAACGUGUUAAGUGUGCCGCCUGGGGAGUAUGUUCGCAAGAAUGAAACUCAAAGGAAUUGACGGGGGCCCGCACAAGCGGUGGAGCAUGUGGUUUAAUUCGAUGAUACGCGAGGAACCUUACCAGGGCUUGACAUAUACAGGAUAUAGUUAGAGAUGACUAUUCCCCGUUUGGGGUCUGUAUACAGGUGCUGCAUGGUUGUCGUCAGCUCGUGCCGUGAGGUGUUGGGUUAAGUCCCGCAACGAGCGCAACCCUUAUUGUCUGUUACCAGCAUGUAAAGAUGGGGACUCAGACGAGACUGCCGGUGAUAAGCCGGAGGAAGGUGAGGAUGACGUCAAAUCAUCAUGGCCCUUAUGUCCUGGGCUACACACGUGCUACAAUGGCCUGUACAAAGCGAUGCGAAACAGUGAUGUGAAGCAAAACGCAGAAAGCAGGUCUCAGUCCAGAUUGAAGUC
rnacentral:rRNA from 1 species